rnacentral:rRNA from 1 species
AACGAACGCUGGCGGCAGGCCUAACACAUGCAAGUCGAACGCUCCGCAAGGGGAGUGGCAGACGGGUGAGUAACACGUGGGAAUCUUCCUAUCGGUACGGAAUAGCUCAGGGAAACUUGGGGUAAUACCGCAUACGCCCGAAAGGGGAAAGAUUUAUCGCCGAUAGAUGAGCCCGCGUCUGAUUAGCUAGUUGGUGAGGUAAUGGCUCACCAAGGCGACGAUCAGCAGCNGGUCUGAGAGGAUGACCAGCCACACUGGGACUGAGACACGGCCCAGACUCCUACGGGAGGCAGCAGUGGGGAAUAUUGGACAAUGGGCGCAAGCCUGAUCCAGCCAUGCCGCGUGAGUGACGAAGGUCUUCGGAUUGUAAAGCUCUUUUGCCAGGGACGAUAAUGACGGUACCUGGAGAAUAAGCCCCCGGCUAACUUCGUGCCAGCCGCCGCCGU